GACGAACGCUGGCGGCGUGCUUAACACAUGCAAGUCGAACGAAGUGGCGAACGGGUGAGUAACGCGUAAUCAACCUGCCCUUCAGAGGGGGACAACAGUUGGAAACGACUGCUAAUACCGCAUAAUGAAGGAGGGGAUUGUGUCUGAUGAGCUAGUGGGGGGGGGAACGGCCCACCAAGGCGAUGAUCAGUAGCCGGUCUGAGAGGAUGAACGGCCACAAUGGGACUGAGACACGGCCCAGACUCCGACGGGAGGCAGCAGGGGGGAAUCUUCCGCAAUGGACGAAAGUCGGACGGAGCAACGCCGCGGGAGUGAUGACGGCCUUCGGGUUGUAAAGCUCUGUUAAUCGGGACGCGGUACCGGAAUAGAAAGCCACGGCUAACUACGUGCCAGCAGCCGCGGUAAUUC
rnacentral:rRNA from 1 species